rnacentral:rRNA from 1 species
UAACUUUGAGCGGUGGAUCACUCGGCUCGUGCGUCGAUGAAGAGCGCAGCCAGCUGCGUGAAUUGAUGUGAAUUGCAGAACACA